CUAUUUUAUUACGAGGAUUGCGCGAGGAAAGCACCUGCACCUGGCGGCGGUAGUUCAUCGAGGAAUUUACUUACUCGCUCCUCGGCGCUCGCCGGAAAAUCGUCCGUCCGUGUCGGCGGCAGAAGGAAACUACGGAUGGUGGAGGAGAAGGUCAGUUCCUCUAGUCCCUCCAUUCGCCCCCCUGUAAAUCUGUCCUUGCGGAUCGAUCUCGCGGCGACGAGGCGGCCAUGGAGCCGGAUCUGGAGAUGGCGGCCAUGAGAAAGAAAGUAGAGGAUGAGGUGCUUGGCACCUGGCUGUGGGACAAGGAGCUGGAUUCCAUCCUGCAGGAACAGCAAGAGCGAGACGACGAAGGUGAUUACGAGUACUACGAACCAGACGAACCACCCGGAUCAGAUGAAGAAGAAGAGGAGCUCCACUGUGGUUCUUCCGGGUACGGAUAUACAUUCUACUACGACGACGGGAACCCUUACUACGUCGCCGACAUGGAGGAGAGGUGGGAGAAUCAGAUCCAGUUUCCUCCGACCAUGCCCAGCGCCAAGGGAUCGUGGGGGGUCUGGGAGGGGUCUCUUCAGGUCGAGGGCCCGUGUCAGCUCGAUUCAGGCCUGUUAUCUGCGCAGAGCUUGCUGCCUCCACUGCCAAAAUGGGAAAACCGUUGGGUGGACAAAAUGGAGAACGAACCUUGUCGACGGGCUAUCCAAGUGUUCAGUUUGAAUUUAUCGUCUCCACAUGAUACCGCCGUAGAUGUCUACGGUAUGUUUGCAUUCCGGGAUCUACGAAACAACCAACUACGCAACUAUGUCUUUGAGUACUCUAGAGACAAACCAUGUAAACUUAAGCCGGGUUCUUGUAAGCUUCAACCUCUACUUAACCCGCAUCAAGGCAUCUACGCGGUUGGGCUUGUGCUAAUUGAGUAUCGUUUGCUAAUUAAAGACGAAGAAGGUGAAGAUGAUAAGGUGUUAAUAGACGGAUAUUCGGUGUAUGCUCCAUCUUUCUAUGCAGAAUAUGAAAGGCUCCAUUGGCACAUUAACACUGGCCACCACGGCAGCGUCGAUCUAAGAAUGGUUGCUAUCCCAAAAGCCGUGUUGGCUGUGUUGGAGUUUGAGGUUCAUCAUCUUGGGGACAAUUUGUUUGAUUCACUUACGAUAACUGCGGUCUAUAGAACCAUGCAAGGGGGUGCUUUUUCAGUCUUCAAUGGCAAGUUGCGUGUUUGCAGGCUACCACCGGUCACGGUUUGUGUGGAUUACACCGAGAAUUUGACUAUAGACUAUACACCCACAACCGUCCCUCAGGUGAUGAUAAUUGCUAUCCUGAUGGCGUUGUUGGUGAUUUGAAAAUUCCCGGAUAUUUUCAUUACGACAUUGAGGAUAUUACAUUUGACACGGUGUGGUUUGAACCGCAAAAGAGUGGAAGCUCUACAAAAAUUUCAAGUAAUAUGUACGGUCUUGUAAUGUCAGUGAAGGUCACAUGGUCUAGCCUGUGUGAACCAUGUCACUAAGAUUUAUAUGUCCAAGGUUUGUACAAUAUACUUUUAUAUAAAAGUGUUUUCUUAGUUA